AAAAUGAAAUUUCCAGAUUUGACCGAGGAACAAACAUGAGCUCAAUUUACAGCUUUUUAGUGUGAAUUUUUUUAGGAGUUUCCACUAGGAAUUCAUGCUAUAAGUGUUGUAUUUCUUGUUUAGUAUGAUAUACAGCAUGUUGUCUCUGAUUUUGGUAGCAAAUUGGUGGCUUACGUGUGAGAAAAUUGGCAGCAACAAAGUUGAAUAACUCCUGUGAAACCAAUGGAGUGAAGCUGCAAGUUUGGUCCCUUUCUCCCCAGAAAUCUUGCUGCAAUUUAUUUAAAUGGCUUGUUUGAUCAAGGGGGCAAUCCAGGAGGAAACUUUUGAUGCUAGUUUUGCUUGAACUAGGUACGGGGAUGACAAGGACAAGAUUAGUGCUAGUUGUAAUAGAAAAUCUUAAUCUUGUAUUUGGACGACAUUGUAUUAUGGUAUUAGUUUACAAGUUCUUAUCUUUUGGUUUAUAUUUUGAUUUGCAUAUUCGAAUGAUUGGUAGCAUGUAGAUGUUAUAUUGAAGAGUUUUAGCGUUAUUGAUUUGCUAUCCAAAGAAUAAGAAAUUCAAAAACUAUAGUUCUUAUUUUAAGUAAUUGUAAUCCUAUUUAUACUUAGAGAAGUGAUUGAACUACUUGCAUUUCA